rnacentral:rRNA from 1 species
UUCCCCCAGUAGCGGCGAGCGAACGGGGAGGAGCCCAGAGCCUGAAUCAGUGUGUGUGUUAGUGGAAGCGUCUGGAAAGGCGCGCGAUACAGGGUGACAGCCCCGUACACAAAAAUGCACAUGCUGUGAGCUCGAUGAGUAGGGCGGGACACGUGGUAUCCUGUCUGAAUAUGGGGGGACCAUCCUCCAAGGCUAAAUACUCCUGACUGACCGAUAGUGAACCAGUACCGUGAGGGAAAGGCGAAAAGAACCCCGGCGAGGGGAGUGAAAAAGAACCUGAAACCGUGUACGUACAAGCAGUGGGAGCACGCUUAGGCGUGUGACUGCGUACCUUUUGUAUAAUGGGUCAGCGACUUAUAUUCUGUAGCAAGGUUAACCGAAUAGGGGAGCCGAAGGGAAACCGAGUCUUAACUGGGCGUUAAGUUGCAGGGUAUAGACCCGAAACCCGGUGAUCUAGCCAUGGGCAGGUUGAAGGUUGGGUAACACUAACUGGAGGACCGAACCGACUAAUGUUGAAAAAUUAGCGGAUGACUUGUGGCUGGGGGUGAAAGGCCAAUCAAACCGGGAGAUAGCUGGUUCUCCCCGAAAGCU